GACGAACGCUUGCGGCGUGCUUAACACAUGCAAGUCGAACGGAAAGGCCCUGCUUUUGUGGGGUGCUCGAGUGGCGAACGGGUGAGUAACACGUGAGUAACCUGCCCUUGACUUUGGGAUAACUUCAGGAAACUGGGGCUAAUACCGGAUAGGAGCUCCUGCUGCAUGGUGGGGGUUGGAAAGUUUCGGCGGUUGGGGAUGGACUCGCGGCUUAUCAGCUUGUUGGUGGGGUAGUGGCUUACCAAGGCUUUGACGGGUAGCCGGCCUGAGAGGGUGACCGGCCACAUUGGGACUGAGAUACGGCCCAGACUCCUACGGGAGGCAGCAGUGGGGAAUAUUGCACAAUGGGCGGAAGCCUGAUGCAGCAACGCCGCGUGCGGGAUGACGGCCUUCGGGUUGUAAACCGCUUUCGCCUGUGACGAAGCGUGAGUGACGGUAAUGGGUAAAGAAGCACCGGCUAACUACGUGCCAGCAGCCGCGGUGAUACGUAGGGUGCGAGCGUUGUCCGGAUUUAUUGGGCGUAAAGGGCUCGUAGGUGGUUGAUCGCGUCGGAAGUGUAAUCUUGGGGCUUAACCCUGAGCGUGCUUUCGAUACGGGUUGACUUGAGGAAGGUAGGGGAGAAUGGAAUUCCUGGUGGAGCGGUGGAAUGCGCAGAUAUCAGGAGGAACACCAGUGGCGAAGGCGGUUCUCUGGGCCUUUCCUGACGCUGAGGAGCGAAAGCGUGGGGAGCGAACAGGCUUAGAUACCCUGGUAGUCCACGCUGUAAACGGUGGGUACUAGGUGUGGGGUCCAUUCCACGGGUUCCGUGCCGUAGCUAACGCUUUAAGUACCCCGCCUGGGGAGUACGGCCGCAAGGCUAAAACUCAAAGGAAUUGACGGGGCCCCGCACAAGCGGCGGAGCAUGCGGAUUAAUUCGAUGCAACGCGUAGAACCUUACCUGGGUUUGACAUGGAUCGGGAGUGCUCAGAGAUGGGUGUGCCUCUUUUGGGGUCGGUUCACAGGUGGUGCAUGCCUGUCGUCAGCUCGUGUCGUGAGAUGUUGGGUUAAGUCCCGCAACGAGCGCAACCCUUGUUCACUGUUGCCAGCACGUUAUGGUGGGGACUCAGUGGAGACCGCCGGGGUCAACUCGGAGGAAGGUGGGGAUGACGUCAAGUCCUCAUGCCCCUUAUGUCCAGGGCUUCACGCAUGCUACAAUGGCUGGUACAGAGAGUGGCGAGCCUGUGAGGGUGAGCGAAUCUCGGGAAGCCGGUCUCAGUUCGGAUUGGGGUCUGCAACUCGACCUCAUGAAGUCGGAGUCGCUAGUAAUCGCAGAUCAGCAACGCAGCGGUGAAUACGUUCCCGGGGCU
rnacentral:rRNA from 1 species